GGACACUAUAGUCACCAGAACAUCUACAGCUUAAUAUUGUUGUUCUAGUAAGUAUAGUAUGCGCCUGCAGGCUUUUUAAUGGAAAUACUGCCUUUUCUCUGAAAAGGCAAUGUUUACAUUACUACAUAGUCAGUCACUCAAAUGGCCACUAGAGGUGCUUUCUGUCUCAGUGCUGAACAAUGUGCAAAGUCUCCCUGCUCUGAGCGUUCCUCAUAGAAAUUGUACUCAAAUGCAAUAGCCUCCUUGGAUUGGCUGAGAUUGUGAAUUUUGAUGAACUCGGCCAAGAAGACAGAGAAGGGGUGGGGCUAGCCAUAACUGAUCCCUUGAAGUGCUGGAAUAAAAGUGAGUUUUACACCUUUUACUUUCCUAAUAAGGAGGCAUAAAUAGUGCUAUUAGAACUAUAGUGUCAGGAAUAUAUAUCUGAAUUCCUGAGACUACAGUGUUCCUUUAAGGACUGGUAAUUUCAUACUUAAGAUGUAUUAUCCUUAGAACAAGCUUAGAGUCUUGUGUACUAAUAAAGACCACAUAGUGCAAUAAAUGUUGACAUUGAUGAAUAUAUUUCAGCAUGGCUGUGAUGUAGGGGCUGUAGAAUAAACAUAUACCUCCAAAGUAACAAAAAAAAUAAAAUAAAGUAGCCAGUUACCUUGUAUUUUGGGUAAACGUUUAAUAUUAAAAUGAAAAUAGUACAUAAUAGAAUGUAGUACAGUAGUACAGCUUACUCAAUAACAUACAUAAAGCAUGGGUUAGGUUGUUACAUUUAGAGUUACAUAAACAGCUUAAUUUGAAAAUGUAGCAAAUUGGUUAUUAAUUGAUCAAGAUACAAAAUUACAAUUUGAAAUCUUAGAAGUGAAUUCAAAGUGCUUUUAAUAAAAUACAAUAAAAGUAUAAUUGUUUAGUAGAUAUACCCCAAUAAAACAUGCAUGCAUAUGUAACUAAAAAUGGCUUGCAAAAACUGCAGAUGUUUUAGCAAGCUCUCCCCUUCUAACCCUACCAAGGCUCUAUGACAAUAUUCCCUGCUGCUCAAUGAGAAGUCUUUUAAAGACAGGUAAUAUGAGCAAUUGUCUGUCUCUUGAGUUUAGCUCCACUGAGCUAAACAACUAAAAUAUAACAGGACCGGUUGUCUGUUUUACAGCCAGGAGGGUGUAACAAUUUAUACAUGUGCCAAAUUCUGUUGAAACCUGCAAUAAAAUAAAAAUAUAUAUAUAUAAAUAAAAAAGGACGCACUCUUCACACAUAAAUCACAGCUGAAGUGCGUUAUGAUUUUGGAGUGCCCCUUUAAUGUCAGAGUAGAUAAUUGGAAAGCUGAUUUUUUUUUCCAGUUUGGCUAAUUUGACCUUAAACUUGAAAUUCACCUUGAAUUCUCACUUUAGUGAAUAACCAUGUAAAAGCCAUAAUUGGUCAUUUUGGUUCCUUUACACAAAAACAUUGCUUUAUUUCCUAACUUAUGAAUUGAAAGUGAAAUAAGCAGAGUAGCUUCGGAAGUGCUCAGAAAUGAAUUCCUAGACCCAUGCUAAAAAAAAAAAAAAGCUUGAGCCAGUUAAGUAAUUAGUUAGGCAAAAAAUAAUAAUAAACAAAAUGCAGACUCCAUCCCUGUGGAAUCCUUCAAAAGGAUGGAAAGGAAUCAAUAGAGAAAUGGUGAAUCAUAAAUGUAAAAAUCGGCAGAUUAUUUUGAUACAUGUCACAGAGGCAGAUAAAUAAUGCCCAUCUCAUUUAAGAUUAAGGAAUAGUGGUACAGAGUUGUCCUACAUAUAUAUUCUAGAAUAUUUAGUAAUGUAAGAGAUGUAUUUUUUGUUCAAGUUGUGAUCAGAUCAAAUGGUAACUAAAAAAUAAUAACCACUAAUGUAAUUACAUUUCAAUGUGCAACAUCUACAUAUCAUGCAACCAGACAAAUCUUAGGAAACCUAUUUCUCAGACAAUUGCUUCCCACAACUCUUUCAGAACACGGUGUGAAAUAUGCAAUUAAGCACAGGAAGCAAUUCUGUUUUAAGAUAUUCAGCAUUUUUUUUACACAUUGAUAAUUAUAAAUGCAAAAAAAUAAAAAGUUUGUUUUAAUUAAUGCGUGGAGUCUAUUCUAACAUUACCUGUGGAGCAAGGGUGUCUAACCUUUGUCCUCCAUCAUGAGAGUACAAUUGAAUUAAUUAACUGCAAAUAAGCUCUAGACUCUUCGUGAAAAGUACUUAAUAGUUUGUUCAGAGCAACUAUAUCCAUGUAGCAUAAACAAAAAUAAUAAAAUCUUAAAGUGCUCUUCACACAGAUAAAGUAAAAUGUAUUCCAGUAGCAUCUGUAACUCAGCCUGUACUGAGUUAUUGUAUAGCCUCCAUUACGAAACAUUCCUGCUCUGUUGCUUUGCAAAGAAAAUGAAAGCCAAAGUUAUAAUAUAGAACGCUGAACGAGACAUUCUAUAAUGUGCUGAAGUGAAUGAAUGUCUAUCUGCAACGGUAUUUGUCCUCCGUAAUCUUUCUUAUAUUUUAUAAAUGGCACCAAUGAAAAAUGUCAUCUGCACAUAUUUAGCAUUUUGAAUUUUUAGAUUACUACCACAGAAUAUUGCCAAAAUUACGUUCCAUGGUAUUCUCAGCUUGUCUGUUUUCUCAGGCCACAUCAUAACAAAAUACACUGUAAAUACGGUAGAUAAAUAAAGAAGACUGUAUUCAGUUAUUAGACACAACUACUUUGUUCAAUCUGCAGCUAUCUUGUGGCCUAAUCAUUUUUCGGUUCUGAUGAUAUUCCACAGUUUUUUUUAUAUUUAAUUCAUAUACAUAAGCUGACAUGAAUUGCGAGUCCACCUGUAGGCAAACCCUCAACCUACUAAGACUUAUAUUAAAAAAUAAAAAUCGAACUUAAUGUAGUGAAUGUGUUGCUUAAUAAAUGAAAUUGACUGGUCUUGUGGAAAAUGAUCUAAAUAUAAGGAUUUUACUUUUAUUAUAGCAAAUUUUGCAGGUAUACGAGACAUAUAAAGUAUACAUCUAGAAAAGUUCAAUAUUUACACAUCUGGGCAAUUUCUAAUGAGAUCUGGAGUAUAACUUAUAUGAUGUAUUCAUAUAUUUGUGAUUUCAGAAACACUGUCCCACACUGUAUCAGCACUCAGUUCACUAACAGGGUUAUUCAAAGUAAAUUUCAAAUUUAAGGUCAAAAUAGCCAAACCGGAGAAAUCCUCUAAAUCAGCUAUGCUUGCAGUUCUGCUACUCUGGUCUUAAAUUUUAAAUUCACUUUAAAUUCUCACUUUAGUAAAAAAAAAAAAAAACUGUAAGUAACUUAGGCUACUGAUUUAAGGUAAUGGCUAUAUACGAGUCAUGCUAUGGGGCUACUGAAAGUGAACAAAACUAUGUUUACUACAAACAAACCUCCGCUCCUAUGAAUUAAGUGGAGGAUAAGGAGUUAAUUUGGUACUUUACCACAUAGAGUCUUAAUAAUGCCUUAAUCUUUCCUUUAUAGUUACUAAAGAAAUAGUUUUUAACUAUGGAACAGAGUAAUCCAUUAACAUCGAUAUGUUGGUAAAGCAAUAUGGCAGUCUACACCAGCAAUGUUUUUGUUUCAUCUGAUGUAAUAUGGGGAGCAUCUUAAUGGAAUUAACCAUUUCCCAUCUAGAAGUAUCAACGUUCUAUCUUCAAACACGCCCAUAUAAUUACAGGCUUUCUGUAGUAGAACAGAAACAUUAAAAAAAAUAAAAUAAAACUGAUGGUCAAUCUUCGUUUUAUUUUGAGUAGAGCACUGCAAUCAUGGCAGAUAAUCAGUUUACAUGAAUAUUAUGUUUCAUGAUGUUACAUUCUCUGGCUUAUUCAGCCUUUUAAUUGGUGCAUGGAAUUUGCCCUCAGUGAGGACUCUAUGUAUGACGUGUUUGCUGGGUAAUAUGAUGACCUGUGUCUGUAUUAGCAAGCAAGAAAAAAAGAAAAGCUAAAAAAGUUCAAAAAUAUAUGAGAUCCCUUCGUUUUGGAUAAAUGUUUAAUUCAAGUUCAUUCAUUUUUGUGUACUGUGUUGUGCUGUUCUUUUUUUGUAAUAAUUGUCACAGUCCUAAUCAUAGGACUAACCAGAGUUAUAUUUAUCUAAAGUGUACAGGUUGUUUUUUGGGGGGGAGGGCAAGGGAUGUUUAUGUGAUGUUUCGGAUGUGCCACUUUAAUUCUGGAUUGGGCAACUUGGUGGUAAUGCUUACUGCAUCAUAUGUUACCGAGAUCAUGGAAAGGCAUUGCCAUAGAAAAAUAAAAUGUGCUAAAACCA